rnacentral:rRNA from 1 species
GGAAUCUUCCACAAUGGGCGAAAGCCUGAUGGAGCAACGCCGCGUGUGUGAUGAAGGGUUUCGGCUCGUAAAACACUGUUGUAAGAGAAGAAUGACAUUGAGAGUAACUGUUCAAUGUGUGACGGUAUCUUACCAGAAAGGAACGGCUAAAUACGUGCCNG